rnacentral:rRNA from 1 species
GAUGAACGCUGGCGGCGUGCCUAAUACAUGCAAGUCGAGCGAACAGACGAGGAGCUUGCUCCUCUGACGUUAGCGGCGGACGGGUGAGUAACACGUGGAUAACCUACCUAUAAGACUGGGAUAACUUCGGGAAACCGGAGCUAAUACCGGAUAAUAUAUUGAACCGCAUGGUUCAAUAGUGAAAGACGGUUUUGCUGUCACUUAUAGAUGGAUCCGCGCCGCAUUAGCUAGUUGGUAAGGUAACGGCUUACCAAGGCGACGAUGCGUAGCCGACCUGAGAGGGUGAUCGGCCACACUGGAACUGAGACACGGUCCAGACUCCUACGGGAGGCAGCAGUAGGGAAUCUUCCGCAAUGGGGGAAAGCCUGACGGAGCAACGCCGCGUGAGUGAUGAAGGUCUUCGGAUCGUAAAACUCUGUUAUUAGGGAAGAACAAAUGUGUAAGUAACUAUGCACGUCUUGACGGUACCUAAUCAGAAAGCCACGGCUAACUACGUG